AGCAGCCGCGGUAAUUCCAGCUCCAAUAGCGUAUAUUAAAGUUGUUGCAGUUAAAAAGCUCGUAGUUGAAUUUCGGGAUCAAUACGUCGGUCGUGCUUCGGUACGUACUGGCGUAAUUGAUUUCUCCCUUCUGACGAACCAUGAUGUCAUUAACUUGGUGUCAUGGGAAAUCAGGACUGUUACUUUGAAAAAAUUAGAGUGUUUAAAGCAGGCUCACGCUUGAAUACAUUAGCAUGGAAUAAUGAAAUAGGACGUUCGAUCCUAUUUUGUUGGUUUUUAGGAUCAACGUAAUGAUUAAUAGGGAUAGUUGGGGGCAUUAGUAUUCAAUUGUCAGAGGUGAAAUUCUUGGAUUUAUUGAAGACUAACUACUGCGAAAGCAUUUGCCAAGGAUGUUUUCAUUAAUCAAGAACGAAAGUUAGGGGAUCGAAGACGAUCAGAUACCGUCGUAGUCUUAACCAUAAACUAUGCCGACUAGGGAUCGGAUGAUGUUAAUUUUUANGACUCAUUCGGCGCCUU
rnacentral:misc_RNA from 1 species